GAUCAUGGCUCAGGAUGAACGCUAGCUACAGGCUUAACACAUGCAAGUCGAGGGGCAGCAUGACCUAGCAAUAGGUUGAUGGCGACCGGCGCACGGGUGAGUAACACGUAUCCAACCUACCGGUUAUUCCGGGAUAGCCUUUCGAAAGAAAGAUUAAUACCGGAUAGUAUAACGAGAAGGCAUCUCUUGUUAUUAAAGAAUUUCGAUAACCGAUGGGGAUGCGUUCCAUUAGUUGUUGCGGGUAACGCCC
rnacentral:rRNA from 1 species